rnacentral:lncRNA from 1 species
UCAGCUAGGUCAUCUCCAUUCAUUUACUUGGAAUCAGGGGCUCUUCUUUUUUCCUUCCACACCAACAGCUUUAUGAGCCAGGAGGACUCAGAUCAUUUUGGAGCAAUUGUGUCAGCAAUUCGGAAUUGUACAGUAACUCUCUUGGGCUACUUCCCUGACAUCUGGAAUCCAUGAAGAAUUCCAGACAUUGCUGGAAGCAGAGAUGGACAAGAUGUUACCCACACUGGUUCUAAUACCCGUGACCCAUUUAUCCCAAGGAGAAAUUAUCCAUGUGGCAUACUGGUUUAACAUCUAGACCACCAAACAAAGACUCCACCAUUCUCCUUGAGGAACAUUGUCACCAAGUUAAAUUGAAAGUUGACGUAUGUCAACUCAAAACAGAUGAGAAACGGCAGGGUGCUUUAUGGAUUGAGAGCCAAGAAGGCAUAGAAUCCACUUCUGAUGGAUACGAGAAGAUAAAAGGAAUUCAAAUAAUGUGUAUCUGGGAAACUUGCUGUAAAAUACCAGAUGUAAUAGUGGUUAUGGAAAUCACCAAAGAGUAGAACAUAGAACCAACCCAUGGAAUUGGAAAGAUGCAGUAAACGCAUUUGCAAAGGUAAAUUUUCUAAUGUGGGUCAUAAGUAUUAAAUAUAUGAAAUGAAUAGUAGGUGCUGUUGGAACUUAGAAAAAGAGGUAUAAUUUCUAGAAGGAAUGAGCUUUGCACUGUUUCCUGAAGGAUGGAUCUGAUUUGAAUAGGUCAAGGAGAUAGGUGGUGCCAUAAGGGAGCCUGAUUAGCGAUGCCUCUUUCAAUUCCCAAGCACAGAAGCCCAAUAUAAACUGACUCAUGCAGGAGGAGUGGUCCUGGGGCUUCCAUGUGGCUGGAGUCACAGGGUCCUAUAAUUUGAAUUGGUUUCUCUCCCUCUCUUGGCUCUGCUUUCCUCUGCAUUGACUUUUGUCUCAGACUCCUGACUCCACCUGGUAGCUGCCA